AUGAGGCCAGUGCCACCUAAGUGCACGGCAGUAUUCUAAGGACUAAAUGAAACCAUGUAAGUGAAAUGUGCGGUGAAGGCUCUGCAGACGGUUACUUCAGCAGGGGCCCUUCCUGUGGGUCACAAGGCAGACAAUGAGAACACAACACAGACUCUGGGAAGAACUCUGAACCCUCAGGGAUAACUCUCAAGGACACUGGGUGUUGAAAAUGACCAUGAGAGUACGACCCUUUGAAUAUCUGAUUUCUCAUCACCAUCCCCCAGUCACACGGCCUCUCUACUGCUCCCAGGAUCUUCUAAAAGAAGAAAUUGCU